AGCCUCAUCAAGUGGUUGUGAUAUGGAUUAUCAACGCAUAUCACAGCCAGCUUUGAUGAGCUAGG
rfam:Glossina morsitans morsitans, isolate Yale, WGS project CCAG01000000 data, contig: ctg10009954